rnacentral:rRNA from 1 species
GACGAACGCUGGCGGCGUGCUUAACACAUGCAAGUCGAACGGAAAGGCCCUGCUUUUGUGGGGUGCUCGAGUGGCGAACGGGUGAGUAACACGUGAGUAACCUGCCCUUGACUUUGGGAUAACUUCAGGAAACUGGGGCUAAUACCGGAUAGGAGCUCCUGCUGCAUGGUGGGGGUUGGAAAGUUUCGGCGGUUGGGGAUGGACUCGCGGCUUAUCAGCUUGUUGGUGGGGUAGUGGCUUACCAAGGCUUUGACGGGUAGCCGGCCUGAGAGGGUGACCGGCCACAUUGGGACUGAGAUACGGCCCAGACUCCUACGGGAGGCAGCAGGGGGGAAUAUUGAACAAUGGGCGGAAGCCUGAUGCAGCAACGCCGCGUGCGGGAUGACGGCCUUCGGGUGGUAAACCGCUUUCGCCUGUGACGAAGCGUGAGUGACGGUAAUGGGUAAAGAAGCACCGGCUAACUACGUG